CCUGUGCUCAAAAGUGGGACUUUUGGAAGGGAAUUGAAUUAUGGGUGCAGGACAGCUGAUUGCUAUUAGAAGGUGCUCAGAGGAGGCAGGCACUGUGGGCGUGGCCCAGAAGGGUGUAGCACUCUUUCUGCUUCCUGUCUGCCAUUGCCGUAAGCAGCUCUCCCCCACCAUGCCCUUCUGCCAUACCAUCCUGCCUCGGAGCCGGAGGACCAUGCAAGGACUGAAACUACUAAAAUGUUGAUCUGAGAACAAACCGCAGCACCUGAAAGCACAUGGCCAGCUGAUGGAUGUUUGGCUCUGAUGGGCCAUUUUACAAGAUGCCUUAGGAAGGCAGGGAGUUUCAUCGCGAGUCCUUCAAACUGGUGCUGAGCCACAAACCAGCCAAGAUUGUAGAAUGUGUCACAUUCAGAAAGCAUCAAGCCAAUGCCAGCCCAGGCUGUGCUUCCAGAUGAGCAAGGCCCUCCUUCUGGGUUUGGAUACUGACUGAAGUUUUGCUUUCACGGUGACUGACACCUUCAUAAGGAUUCUAUCAGAUAAAAUUCCAGGUUUUUAAUUGCCAAAAGCCCAAGACCUCAUCUCCUCACACCUUGGCCCCCGACAGAGAAAUCCAAAGCAGAAGCUCUUUUUUUUAGAAAAAAAUUGAACUGACACAUAACAAUUGCAGGCAUUUGUGGUGUGAAUCACAGUGUGAUCGUUCAAUACAUAUGUACAGUGUGUAAAGAUCAGACCAGGUAAGUUGGAUUUCUAGCCCCAUAGAUAGUUAUUUCUUUGUGUUGGGACCCUUCAAACUCCUCUCUCCUAGUUUUUAAUACAAUAAUAAUAAAUUGUCAGCUAUUGUCACCC
rnacentral:lncRNA from 1 species